AUAAGCAACGUGCCCUGAAGACUGGGAUAGUCAGAGGAAACUCUGGGUAAUACCAGAUGUGGCCGUCACCCCGCAUGGGGAGACGAUCAAAUGGUUUUUCGCUUCUGGAGCGGCUUAUGGCCUAUCAGGUAGUUGGUGGGGUAAUGGCCUACCAAGCCGACGACGGGUAGCGGGUCUGAGAGGAUGAUCCGCUCGAGUGGGACUGAGACACGGCC
rnacentral:rRNA from 1 species